UUUGCAGGGUGGCUGGACAGCAGUUUGACAGUUGGCUCAGGGGCGCUGUGAAGCGGCAGGGAGAUCGGAGGAUGGGGUGGCUUCAGGAGCUGGACAGUUGGCUCUGGGGACUGCAGGCGGCAGCUGGUUGGCCAAGCUGUGCCGUGAAGCGGCAGGGAGCAGGGAGCUGGGCGACAGUCUCUGGCAGUGGCAGGGGGAAGCAAGGACUGUGAGACAGAUAGAAAGACAGAGGACAGAGAGAGAGGUGGAGAUAUCCUGCCUAAUCACCAUAACCAGGAAAUGCUGGAAAUCGAUCUUGUCUCCUAUGAGCAGCUGCAACUGCCGCCGCUCAAGCAAACAAUAAAGGUUUUAAACAGGAAA